rnacentral:SRP_RNA from 1 species
GUGCUAGAUGGGGAACUAGCGGUGCCCUGUAUCUGCAAUCCGCUACAGCAGAGUCGAAUGCUCCCCUAGGUUAUCUUUUUGAAAGUCUGAGUUAAAUUGGAUUCGUUGAGAAUUAAGCUCCAUGCAUUAGAAGCCUACAAACCCCGCCAGGAUCGGAAGAUAGCAACGGUAAGUAGUAUCUUUUAAGUGAUGUGGAAUAACUUAAUUUGAGUUGAAGAUUUAUCUAUCGUUUUGGAGGGAUUUAUCGACGGGAGAUGCAC